AGACCACAUGGUGACUGUAACAGAGGAUUAGUUUGGAAACUUCUAAGGCUUGUCCGGUAUGCAUCCUUGUGCACCACAUGGUGAUGGAUAUUGUUAGGCUCUCUUGCAUCUCUAGUGAUUUCUUAGCCAUUGGGUCUUACAAAGCAGUGAAUUCUUCUUUUCAUGGAGGUUUUGGGAAAUUCUGAGGUCUUUGUUGUGAGAAUUCAUGCGUUGGUGAGCAUUGUUCUGUCACCCUAUUUACUACUAUGAAGCACAUCAAUUUCCUUUUGUUGAAUCAGAAUACUGGAAAUUGGCUCCCCAGACAUGCCUACUUGGAUCUUCUAUUCUAGACCUAUGUGUCACAAUCAUACAGUGGAGCUAUCAGUUUGGAUUUGAUAUCUUGACUUCCAUCUUUAAUGCUAAUGCUAAUCAUGUCUCUCUUCGCAUCAAAUUCUUUUACCUUCUUAUUUGCUUUGGUCAUCAGUGGAUGUCAUUUUUAGCUGUCAAGAAUACAUGGAUUGGCAUUUAGGUGCAAGUGGUUCUACAUGAAUAAGUGUCUUGCUUCAGUGUUUGUGGUUGGGGAAGAUGCAUCAGUUCCUGGGUCGUUUACUAUAGGUAUAUUGGAUUUUCAGUCUUUCAAAGCUUUGUCAAAAUGGGUACGAUAUGAAAGUUCUCAACUAUGAUAAUUCU